GAUGAACGCUGGCGGCGUGCCUAAUACAUGCAAGUCGAGCGAACGGACGAGAAGCUUGCUUCUCUGCUGUUAGCGGCUGACGGGUGAGUAACACGUGGAUAACCUACCUAUAAGACUGGGAUAACUUCGGGAAACCGGAGCUAAUACCAGAUAAUAUUUUGAACCGCAUGGUUCAAAAGUAAAAGACGGUCUUGCUGUCACUUAUAGAUGGAUCCGCGCUGCAUUAGCUAGUUGGUAAGGUAACGGCUUACCAAGGCAACGAUGCGUAGCCGACCUGAGAGGGUGAUCAGCCACACUGGAACUGAGACACGGUCCAGACUCCUACGGGAGGCAGCAGUAGGGAAUAUUCCGCAAUGGGCGAAAGCCUGACGGAGCAACGCCGCGUGAGUGAUGAAGGUCUUCGGAUCGUAAAACUCUGUUAUUAGGGAAGAACAUAUGUGUAAGUAACUGUGCACAUCUUGACGGUACCUAAUCAGAAAGCCACGGCUAACUACGUG
rnacentral:rRNA from 1 species